UGCUGGCUUUCAAGGCUUCUAUGUCCAGAAGAGACCAAGCUUCUAUAAUUCAUCUACAAAUCCAAAUACAAUGAUUUCGUUAGUAUAACAUAGCAUCUAUGAAUUUACAAAAUAACAUGAUAAUUGACAUUGCAUUACUGAGACUGAUAUCAAUGCAUUCCACAUGCAUGUACUUAUAUAGCCUGUUUAGGCUGAGAAAAGAGAUAAGGAUCAUUGAAUGGUAGUUAAUAAAUGCAACGUGUAACGGUUCGGGGGCGAGAGAAGAAUCGAUCAUGAAACGACACGAUCUGACGACUCACGAAGCCUCGUCUCCUCAAUCCCUAACUCCAUUGUUUGUAGACGU
rnacentral:lncRNA from 1 species